UACGGAGGGUGCAAGCGUUGUCCGGAUUUAUUGGGUUUAAAGGGUGCGUAGGCGGCCCGUUAAGUCAGCGGUGAAAUCCCGGGGCUCAACCCCGGAACUGCCGUUGAUACUGGCGGACUUGAGUUCGGUGAAGGCGGGCGGAACUGGCGGUGUAGCGGUGAAAUGCUUAGAUACCGCCAAGAACCCCGAUUGCGUAGGCAGCUCGCUGUGCCGAAACUGACGCUGAGGCACGAAAGCGUGGGGGCGAACAGG
rnacentral:rRNA from 1 species